GGGGGGGGGGGGGGGGGGGGGGGGGGGGGGCGGGGCGGGCGGCGGGGGGGGGGGGGGGUGCGGGGACGGGGGGGGAGUGGCGGACGGGUGGGGGGGACAGCGGGAGCUGCUUUUUCGGUGGGGAUAGCGUAGGGGGGCUUACGCUCAUACCGGAUCCGCGGUACGGUUGGACGCGGGGGCGCUUCGGACCUUUCGCGAUUGGAUGAGCCGAUGUCGGAUUAGCUAGUUGGCGGGGUACAGGCCCACCACGGCGACGAUCCGUAGCUGGUCUGAGAGGAUGAUCAGCCACACUGGAACUGAGACACGGUCCAGACUCCUACGGGAGGCAGCAGGGGGGAAUAUUGGACAAUGGGCGCAAGCCUGAUCCAGCCAUACCGCGUGGGUGAAGAAGGCCUUCGGGUUGUAAAGCCCUUUUGUUGGGAAAGAAAAGCAGCAGGUUAAUACCCCGCUGUUCUGACGGGACCCAAAGAAUAAGCACCGGCUAACUUCGUG
rnacentral:rRNA from 1 species